AACGCUGGCGGCAUGCCUUACACAUGCAAGUCGAACGGCAGCACGGGAGCAAUCCUGGUGGCGAGUGGCGAACGGGUGAGUAAUAUAUCGGAACGUGCCCAGUCGUGGGGGAUAACGCAGCGAAAGCUGUGCUAAUACCGCAUACGAUCUAUGGAUGAAAGCGGGGGAUCGCAAGACCUCGCGCGAUUGGAGCGGCCGAUAUCAGAUUAGGUUGUUGGUGGGGUAAAAGCCCACCAAGCCGACGAUCUGUAGCUGGUCUGAGAGGACGACCAGCCACACUGGAACUGAGACACGGUCCAGACUCCUACGGGAGGCAGCAGUGGGGAAUUUUGGACAAUGGGCGCAAGCCUGAUCCAGCAAUGCCGCGUGCAGGAUGAAGGCCUUCGGGUUGUAAACUGCUUUUGUACGGAACGAAACGGCCUACUCUAAUACAGUGGGCUAAUGACGGUACCGUAAGAAUAAGCACCGGCUAACUACGUGCCAGCAGCCGCGGUAAUACGUAGGGUGCGAGCGUUAAUCGGAAUUACUGGGCGUAAAGCGUGCGCAGGCGGUUAUAUAAGACAGAUGUGAAAUCCCCGGGCUCAACCUGGGACCUGCAUUUGUGACUGUAUAGCUAGAGUGCGGCAGAGGGGGAUGGAAUUCCGCGUGUAGCAGUGAAAUGCGUAGAUAUGCGGAGGAACACCGAUGGCGAAGGCA
rnacentral:rRNA from 1 species